GAUGAAGAACGUAGCGAAAUGCGAUAAGUAAUGUGAAUUGCAGAAUUCCGUGAAUCAUCGAAUCUUUGAACGCACAUUGCGCCCCCUGGUAUUCCGGGGGGCAUGCCUGUCCGAGCGUCAUUGCAACCUUCAAGCGCGGCUUGUGUGUUGGGUCUCGUCCCCCGUGGACGGGCCCGAAAGGCAGUGGCGGCGUCCCGACAUGGUGCCCGAGCGUAUGGGAAACCUCUUCCGCUCGAAUCGGCCCAUGCGGCGCUGGUCGUAACCAAAUUUUUUUACCGGUUGACCUCGGAUCAGGUAGGGAUACCCGCUGAACUUAAGCAUAUCAAUAAGCGGAGGA
rnacentral:misc_RNA from 1 species